rnacentral:snRNA from 1 species
AGGGUGAUCUGGCUGCGACAUCUGUCACCCCAUUGAUCGCCAGGUUUGAUUCGGCUGAUCUGGCUAGCUAGGCAGGUGUCCCCCCUUCAUCCCU